rnacentral:rRNA from 1 species
AGGCAGCAGUGGGGAAUAUUGGGCAAUGGGCGAAAGCCUGACCCAGCAACGCCGCGUGAAGGAAGAAGGUCUUCGGAUUGUAAACUUCUUUUAUGAGGGACGAAGGAUGUGACGGUACCUCAUGAAUAAGCCACGGCUAACUACGUGCCAGCAGCCGCGGUAAU